CCCUUAGACGUUCUGGGCCGCACGCGAGCUACACUGACGAAGGCAACGAGCUUUCCUUUACCGAAAGGUACGGGUAAUCUUUUGAAACUUCGUCGUGCUGGGGAUAGAUCCUUGCAAUUUUUGAUCUUAAACGAGGAAUGCCUAGUAAGCGCAAGUCAUCAACUUGCGUUGAUUACGUCCCUGCCCUUUGUACACACCGCCCGUCGCUACUACCGAUUGAAUGGUUUAGUGAGGCCUUCGGAUCCGCGACUCGUUUGUGGAGAAGUUGGACAAACUCAGUCAUUUAGAGGAAGUAAAAGUCGUAACA
rnacentral:rRNA from 1 species